UCCAACAAAGAAGCUAUCAGAAGAAGUCGAGAAUCAGAACACGGAUAAACGUCCAUGUACCGUGCAUUGGGUGUGCCUGGAGGAACCCUCGGGGCUUCGACAUUAAUGUGCAUAGUGUACGCAUGCGCCAGCACCCUGACCUCAUGGUCCUUCCUGUGUACGGAGAGGAGAUUCAGGAAGUCGGCCUGCGCUGUCAAGACAAGAAGGGCAGAGUGGCAACCAGGCAGCUGACGCCGACAAUUUUUUUGCUUGGCCAGCUGGUAUCAAUGCCGUGAGACAUCUAGCCCGCUAAUAAAAUAAUGCAACAUAUAACCAACGCCAACGUAAGUUCAGCGGAUCUAAGAGUGAUACGCAGUGUUCUAGGUUUGCAUAGCUAUUUAUCAAAGGGAAAAAAAGAAGAGAAACAUCGAAUAUAAGAAACGAAAACUGCCGAGGAGGCUGAAAAUGAACUGCUGCUUUUUCUGUGAGCUAGAGUUAGGCCCAAGCAACUGGCCAUUGCACGAUGAAAAAGAAAAACAAGGCAGCUCUCAAAGGGCACAGUGAGAGCUGCAGAAAGCUUGAAUUAAAGCAAACACUUUCGCAAGACGACGGGAUCAGAAAGAAUUUUCCCGCGUUAACUCAGCGACGUGGGAUCAGGCGGACAAGGAGAAACGCAGCGGUCAGCCGAAUUUCUUCUCACGCAGAAGAAUGCAUGGUGGCACACGCCUAUAUUUUCCCCUGCCAUGGCCGUGCGCUGAUUACAGUGACCCGCCUGAAUAAGAAAAAGGGACGCAACGUACCUCAGAGACAUCCUCUCAUGGCUUCAAAAGAAAAACAUGAGAAAAGAAUGUUUUGAGACGGAUUUCCCACAGGAGAUCGGCAACACAAAGACUAAGGAUUGCAA